rnacentral:rRNA from 1 species
GACGUAGGGUCCAAGCGUUGUCCGGAUUUACUGGGCGUAAAGAGCGCGUAGGCGGCUCGUUAAGUGUGAAGUGAAAUCUCCAGGGCUCAACCCGGGAACUGCGUCCGAUACUGGAAGGCUUGAAUCCGGGAGAGGGAUGCGGAAUUCCAGGUGUAGCGGUGAAAUGCGUAGAUAUCUGGAGGAACACCGGUGGCGAAGGCGGCAUCCUGGACCGGCAUUGACGCUGAGGCGCGAAAGCGUGGGGAGCAAACAGG